rnacentral:rRNA from 1 species
UACGUAGGGAGCAAGCGUUAUCCGGAUUUACUGGGUGUAAAGGGCGAGUAGGCGGGCUGGCAAGUUGGGAGUGAAAUCCCGGGGCUUAACCCCGGAACUGCUUUCAAAACUGCUGGUCUUGAGUGAUGGAGAGGCAGGCGGAAUUCCGUGUGUAGCGGUGAAAUGCGUAGAUAUACGGAGGAACACCAGUGGCGAAGGCGGCCUGCUGGACAUUAACUGACGCUGAGGAGCGAAAGCGUGGGGAGCAAACA